AAUAGAUACCCGGGUAGUCCACGCCGUAAACGAUGUCGACUUGGAGGUUGUUCCCUUGAGGAGUGGGCUUCCGGAGCUAACGCGUUAAGUCGACCGCCUGGGGAGUACGGCCGCAAGGUUAAAACUCAAAUGAAUUGACGGGGGCCCGCACAAGCGGUGGAGCAUGUGGUUUAAUUCGAUGCAACGCGAAGAACCUUACCUACUCUUGACAUCCAGAGAACUUAGCAGAGAUGCUUUGGUGCCUUCGGGAACUCUGAGACAGGUGCUGCAUGGCUGUCGUCAGCUCGUGUUGUGAAAUGUUGGGUUAAGUCCCGCAACGAGCGCAACCCUUAUCCUUUGUUGCCAGCGGUCCGGCCGGGAACUCAAAGGAGACUGCCAGUGAUAAACUGGAGGAAGGUGGGGAUGACGUCAAGUCAUCAUGGCCCUUACGAGUAGGGCUACACACGUGCUACAAUGGCGCAUACAAAGAGAAGCGACCUCGCGAGAGCAAGCGGACCUCAUAAAGUGCGUCGUAGUCCGGAUUGGAGU
rnacentral:rRNA from 1 species